rnacentral:lncRNA from 1 species
AAUAGAUCGUAGGUGGGGUUUUUACAGGGGGCUGUGGAUAGAGGGCCAUCUAUAUAUAAAGGGGCUUGUCUGAUUUGUAAGUCACUUUACCAAAUCCCAACACGACUUUUACUUUUCACAUCUCUACCACCACAAAUCAUGAAGACAUCUCUGGUCCUCCUUGCCCUCAGUCUGCUGGCUUGUUCAGUUUGGGAAAUCCAAGGGCAAUGCAGAGAGGAUGACCAGGAAGCACAGUCGGAAAAGUGCAUGGAGGAAACACUAUUUGGAACCUGCUGGGUGUGUAAGUGGGCACUGAAAAAAGUGAAGGAAUCCACCUCCACUUCCGAUAGCCAGGAGACACUAAAGCAGAAGCUACUGUCUGUUUGCGAUAAAGUUGGCUUUCUAAAAUCUAUGUGUAAAGGCCUGAUGAAAAAACACUUGUGGGUGCUGAUUGAGGAGCUUAGCACAAGCGAUGAUGUGAGGACCAUCUGUGUUAACAUUAAGGCCUGCAAACCAAAGGAAAUUUUGGACCUGAGCUACUGACCAUGCAGCCAGUAUCCAGAUUCCAAAGUCAAAAGAUGGAUGUCAGGUGUCAAGACAAUGCUAUGCUGCCAGCCUCUUGGUCUUCUUUUUCAAACUAGUCACAACACAAGCAUAUAAAUGGAUGAUUAAGUUAUUGGAAUGAUUAUGUUAUUGGAAUGAUUAAUUACGUGGGAACACGUAUUAUAGUUAAGCAAUAAGGCCAGAGGGGGUGUGGUACAAGGCCAAUUUACCAUGGCUAUGGGCUGUUCUUAUGCACCACGCAACGCUAUGGUAUAAUGGCCCUAUCCCACAAACCAUAAACAUGUUACCAAUGUAAUUAGAACAGUAAGUUAGUCGUUUUGCGUCAUACCCGUGGUAUAUUGUCUCAUACGAUCCAGUUUAUAAUAGUUAUAAUCAUUCUUAAAUUGCAGUACAUUUUGUAUCAUCUCCAAAUGUAAACCUUUUGCUACUUUAGUCCCAAAUGUUGAACAUUUUUAAUGUUUGUUUGUGUGAACUUUUUGGCUAGCUAAAAAAUAAAGCUCAAUUGAUAGAAAAUACAACUCCUUCUUUGACAUCUCUAUCAUAAUUCUAGCAAUGUAUCUAAUUAGAAUUUUUACUGAUUAACAUAUAGUAGAAUUUGUUUUAUGAUAAAGCAUUUAAUUAACAUGUUUAGGAACUCAUGUUGGCAAACUUUUGUGUUUGGAAUCUCAGUUUUCUGUAAAGAAUCUUGAUUGCUUGGUAUGUAGGGUGACCAUACGUCCUCUUUUUCCCGGACAUCUCCUCUUUUUGGACCUUAAAAAAUGCGUCCGGCCGGAAUUUCUAAAUCGCCCAAAAUGUCCGGGAUUCGGCUUUUGCUUUCUACAGUCGCCAUUCAUUGUGUGAGUUUUUGGGAUUUUGCAUUGCUUUGACCUUUCUCUUUAGGUCCCGCCUUCUCACACGCCACCAUUGGUGGGUCAUGUAGGCCUACGCAAAUGUAGUAGAGUUAAAAUGGUUAUUCCAGCAAACUUCAAAUUAUUAGAAUAGUACACAACGCAGAACAGAACAAUCAGGUUGAGGGUCAGUGGCCAAAAGCCCGCGAACAGGAAUGUUCCAAGUUCAGACAGAAGGGGGGAGUCAGAUCGCCAGGAACUUUACUUUUGGUUUCUAAUUUUAAUUGUUGCGCUACUGGUGAUGCCUGUUGAUGUUAGGUAGGCAGCUACAGUAGCUGAAUGAUGUUAACAUCUUCAGGUUUUGUUUCAUUAAAUGUAUUUUAUUUUAUCUGGGUGCUUACGUCACCUACUAACACCCUGGUACUACCCAUAGAUCCCGCUCUCCUCAGUCUGAGAAAACACUGAGAGAGAAAGAACAACUUGUCAGGUGGUGCAUUGGAGACUGAUGUGUUCCUGUCCUGUCUUUUCAUAAUACUAUUGCAGAUCGACAUAAAAGCCUAAAAGACAGCCGUGGUGUCGCUCUUCAUUUCUUGGUUCUCCUGUGGUGCAUAAGAAACCCGCUACAGAUUGGUGCCGUGACCCGGAUCAACAGAUCAGCUGCAGCAGAUCGCCGGGGGACCCCUAAACAGAACUGGAUCGACAUCACACGUUUAAAACAUUUGAGGGCAAGGUGCAGGCCUAUUGAAAAUUGGACCGUUGGAGAUUUGCAGGCAAUGAUUGACAGCCAUCACCGAGACAAACAAUCAGCCAGACACAGGGCGCAAAGUACUGCCAAGGUAGAAGUUGUGAUGACCCCCGACGCUUGGUGUAUGACUCAACAACAAGCAGUCGGUCAAAAUAAUUCAGCCACGCCCACUAACAGCGAUCAGGCUCCAUUGAACAAAGUGAUUUCUCUCCUGGAAAGCUCCUGUCAACCCAGGAACAAAAUCAAAGGAGAACUUCAGCCAGAACGCCACAAACUAAUACUGCUGCUGGUCCCUGUAGAAUUUGUAAGGCCUCAGACCAUUCAACUCAGUCGCACUGCUUUAAGGAGGGGUUAUGUUUCAAGUGUCACAGGACAGGCCACAGAGGCUUUGAAUGUCCAGCAAGAAAACAAGUUGGAGAGGCAACCGCCGAGGCUCCCCCUGGCCCCGCUUUAAACUAACAUGCUCACACCAAGAGGGGGGCGGUGUGGGCGAACAUGUUACACCUCCACAGAACACUACAGAUAUAAGGACUGGAAACACAAUGAAAACCGAGGUGAUUUAUCCAAAAAUAGAGAGUAAUGACAGUCUUUUCUAUGUUCCAGUAAUGGUGCAAGAAAUUGUAGAACUUCAAGCUCUGAUAGAUAGUGGGUCUAUGACCUGCACGUUAAGUGAGUCAGCUGAAGACACACUUCUGAGAUGUAAUGUGAUAAAACCAGAGUCUAGAAAGCCAACUCAAGUAGUUCUUGUAGGCUGUGGGGGCAACCAGGCACAGCCUAAGUAUGAAUAUGACUUGAACAUUGAUCUUUUAGAUUGCAAGAUGGCAGUGUCUGUUUUAGUUGUACCUGGACAGACAGAUGACAUGAUAGUUGGAUCGAACGCCAUAAAACACAUAAUGCAACAGGUUAAGAAAACAAAGUGGUAUUGGGACAGCCUCUCCAAACCUGCCAAAGGAGAUUCACAUGGACUUUUACUCAGCAUGCUAGCCAACGUGAACCGUUGGCACGGUGACAAAAUACCAGACAAAGUGGGAACUGUAAUGCUCAAGCAGAGUGUGACUCUCAUGCCUCAACAUGAACAUUUGGUCUGGGGAAAACUGAAAGAAAAGGUACCGCUACCAGUCGGUAGUACUGUAGUCAUAGAGGCCACUACAGCACGAUCUGCACCAAGAAAUGUCCUAGUAGGACGCACUGUAUGUCCUUUGAGGGGUGACAAGUGGGUCCCCAUGAAAGUGAUAUACAUGUUGGACCACCCUAUUAUUCUCCGCCGUAACACCAAGUUGGCCGAUGUGCACCCAUGCCUAGCCCUAGAAGACCUAGAGCUCUAUGCCAGCCAUGCUGAGAACCCCAGUAAGGUCCAGUCUGCCCUUCAGAAUGUCACCCAAGCUGGGGAAGGAUGUUCAUUUGGUGGAAAAAGGGCAAAGAAAGAGUAUCUACAAAAGUUGGAAGAGUUGGGCUUAAAAGAAGUUGACAUAGAGUCCUGUGAAGUGUCUGACAUGUGGAAAGGAAAACUAGUGGACCUUAUUGCUCAGUAUGAAGGCAUCUUCUCCAGGGACCGACUUGACUGUGGAGAAGCGAAGAACGUCAUCCACCGUAUCCGACUCAAAGAUGAAAAGCCUUUCCGGCUGCCGUACAGGAGGGUCUCUCCAUCCGACUACCAGAAACUGAGACAGACGCUGGAGGAAAUGGAGGAGCGGGGCAUCAUCUGAAAGUCCAGU